UCUACCCGGUUGUGUAGAGAGGCCACCGGAUUGCCCGGGUGACCCUUCCUCCAGUAGGUGGCACCCCCAGGAUUCCUUGGCCUGAUCCUUCGGCUUGGACUAUGUGUACCAUUCUUCAUUCUCCGAGCCUCGUGUAGUUGAAACGUCAUUGAUCUAAUUAGAGACCCACUUAUAUCCAUCCUUCAUCGGGUUUGGCUCAUGAUGCACGCCACUCGCGGUCGCAGCAAACCUCAUUUCUAUCAAUGCAUUCGAAGAAUGAAUACUUUCUUCAAGGCAAUAACACCAAGUGUUUAUGGUUGUAGCUGAAUUGCAGUGACUUCUAGCAUUGCAUUCCUGAGAAGAGCACUCCUAUGAUCAUUGCUGGAAAAUCAAAGAAUGAGUCUAAAGAUAUGGAGGAGAAGCAUAAGGACAUAGACAAAGACAAGGACAGGGACAAAGAGCACGGAGAAACAUCGGCAUAAAGAUCGAAGCAAAGACAAGGAAGGACACGGAGAAGAAAAAAAGAUAAACGCGACCAUCAUGAUCCUGUUUGUGUAAUGAUCCAUCCCAUUGAGGUUGUUGAUGUUUUGAUUGUGGAUUGAGUAUGCACUUGGUGAUAUAUGUAUGUGUUUUUUUAGUAUUCUACUUGAGCACAAAAGUGGUGACAAUGAAUGUGUGACAAUAUAUGAUGAAUAAUUCAUCUGAAUAA